GCCAACACUACACAAAAAUACACUCAUGCAUUUCAACAUCAACACUACAUACAAACCCCACCAUUAUAUAUACCCAUACCACUGCAUUCAAAUACCACACAACACACAAAUGCAUGCUUGCAUUCAAACGCCAACACUACAUACAAACACACCGCUACAUUCACUCACAUAUACUCCAUACAAAAACAUGCAUACAUUCAAACACAUUAACACUGC
rnacentral:lncRNA from 1 species